rnacentral:tRNA from 1 species
GGUUGUGGCUCAGUGGUAGAGUUCUUGCCUAGCAUGCAUGAGGCACUGGGUUCGAUCCCUGGCACCA